UACGUAGGGCGCAAGCGUUGUCCGGAUUCACUGGGUGUAAAGGGUGCGUAGGCGGGAAGGCAAGUCAGAGGUGAAAUCUCACGGCUCAACCGUGAAACUGCCUUUGAUACUGCUUUUCUUGAGUUAGGCAGAGGGGGGUGGAAUUCCACGUGUAGCAGUGAAAUGCGUAGAGAUGUGGAGGAACACCGAUGGCGAAGGCAGCCCCCUGGGCCAACACUGACGCUCAGGCACGAAAGCGUGGGGAGCAAACAGG
rnacentral:rRNA from 1 species